UACGUAGGUGGCAAGCGUUGUCCGGAUUUAUUGGGUUUAAAGGGUGCGUAGGCGGUCUUUUAAGUCAGUGCUGAAAUACUCCAGCUUAACUGGAGGGGUGGCAUUGAUACUGGGAGACUUGAGUGUAGUAGAGGUAGGCGGAAUUGACGGUGUAGCGGUGAAAUGCUUAGAUAUCGUCAAGAACACCGAUAGUGAAGACAGCUUACUAGGCUACAACUGACGCUGAGGCACGAAAGUGUGGGGAGCAAACAGG
rnacentral:rRNA from 1 species